UACGUAGGGACCGAGCGUUGUCCGGAUUCAUUGGGCGUAAAGAGCUCGUAGGCGGCUGUUCAAGUCGAACGUGAAAACUCGGAGCUCAACUCCGAGCCUGCGUUCGAUACUGGACGGCUAGAGUCUGGUAGGGGGAUCUGGAAUUCCUGGUGUAGCGGUGGAAUGCGCAGAUAUCAGGAGGAACACCGGUGGCGAAGGCGGGACUCUGGGCCGAUACUGACACUGAGGAGCGAAAGCGUGGGGAGCGAACAGG
rnacentral:rRNA from 1 species